rnacentral:tRNA from 1 species
UUUUAGGGAGACCUACCCAUUUUAGAUUGUAAAUUUUGGAUUUUGGAUUUUUUGAAUAGAGUCUAAAAUCGGAAAUCAAAAAUCUAAAAUAGUGUCAUUCCUAGGUCGGUUGCUAAUGCAAUUGUGGCUAUCAAACUGUAUAUUAGGUUCGAUUAUGGGCUAUUAGCUCAGGUGGUUAGAGCGCACCCCUGAUAAGGGUGAGGUCCCUGGUUCGAGUCCAGGAUGGCCCACCUGAAACAAGUAAAAGGAGUAAAGUAAAAAGAAUGGAUUUUCUCUUUCUUUUGCCUUUUAUCUUUUAACUUGGUUGAUGGGGGUUUAGCUCAGUUGGUAGAGCGCCUGCUUUGCAAGCAGGAUGUCAGCGAUUCGAGUCCGCUAACCUCCACAUUUAUGAAGCAUUUAUUAAAAAUAGUCAGAAUAAAUGCUGGUAGAAAACAAUUGGAAAAUUCAGCAACUUCCGUUAUUUAGAUAACGCAGCCUGCUGGAUGUAUAUCCAGUAAAGAACCUUGAAAACUGCAUAGUGACGCAAAUUGUAGGCAGUAACUGUAAUAAUUACUUUAGUAAUUGUUAUGGGUAUUGGAUUACAGACAAAUCCUUUGAAUUGAUUAAAUU